GACGAACGCUGGCGGCGUGCUUAACACAUGCAAGUCGAACGGAAAGGCCCUGCUUGCAGGGUACUCGAGUGGCGAACGGGUGAGUAACACGUGGGUGAUCUGCCCUCCACUUCGGGUUAAGCCUGGUCAACUGGGUCUAAUACCUGAUAGGAGCUAUUUUGAGUCGGAUGGUUGGAUAGUUAUUUCGGUUUAUGCUGAGCUCGCGGGCUAACAGCUUGUUGGUGUGGUAAUGGCCUACCAAGGCGGCUACGGGUAGCCGGCCUGAGUGGGUGGCCGGCCACACUGAGACUGAGGGACGGCACAGGCAGCGACGGGAGGCAGCAGGGGGGAAGAUUGACGAAGGGGCGCCGGGCGGAUGAAGAGAGGCCGCGUAGGGGAUAACGGCCUUAGGAUUGAAAAAUCAUUGCGCUAGGGACGAAGCUUUUUGUGACGGUACCUAGACAAGAAGCACCGGCUAACUACGUG
rnacentral:rRNA from 1 species